rnacentral:rRNA from 1 species
UUUAUGGAGAGUUUGAUCCUGGCUCAGGAUGAACGCUGGCGGCGUGCCUAAUACAUGCAAGUCGAGCGAAUGGACGAGAAGCUUGCUUCUCUGAUGUUAGCGGCGGACGGGUGAGUAACACGUGGAUAACCUACCUAUAAGACUGGGAUAACUUCGGGAAACCGGAGCUAAUACCGGAUAAUAUUUUGAACCGCAUGGUUCAAAAGUGAAAGACGGUCUUGCUGUCACUUAUAGAUGGAUCCGCGCUGCAUUAGCUAGUUGGUAAGGUAACGGCUUACCAAGGCAACGAUGCAUAGCCGACCUGAGAGGGUGAUCGGCCACACUGGAACUGAGACACGGUCCAGACUCCUACGGGAGGCAGCAGUAGGGAAUCUUCCGCAAUGGGCGAAAGCCUGACGGAGCAACGCCGCGUGAGUGAUGAAGGUCUUCGGAUCGUAAAACUCUGUUAUUAGGGAAGAACAUAUGUGUAAGUAACUGUGCACAUCUUGACGGUACCUAAUCAGAAAGCCACGGCUAACUACGUGCCAGCAGCCGCGGUAAUACGUAGGUGGCAAGCGUUAUCCGGAAUUAUUGGGCGUAAAGCGCGCGUAGGCGGUUUUUUAAGUCUGAUGUGAAAGCCCACGGCUCAACCGUGGAGGGUCAUUGGAAACUGGAAAACUUGAGUGCAGAAGAGGAAAGUGGAAUUCCAUGUGUAGCGGUGAAAUGCGCAGAGAUAUGGAGGAACACCAGUGGCGAAGGCGACUUUCUGGUCUGUAACUGACGCUGAUGUGCGAAAGCGUGGGGAUCAAACAGGAUUAGAUACCCUGGUAGUCCACGCCGUAAACGAUGAGUGCUAAGUGUUAGGGGGUUUCCGCCCCUUAGUGCUGCAGCUAACGCAUUAAGCACUCCGCCUGGGGAGUACGACCGCAAGGUUGAAACUCAAAGGAAUUGACGGGGACCCGCACAAGCGGUGGAGCAUGUGGUUUAAUUCGAAGCAACGCGAAGAACCUUACCAAAUCUUGACAUCCUUUGACAACUCUAGAGAUAGAGCCUUCCCCUUCGGGGGACAAAGUGACAGGUGGUGCAUGGUUGUCGUCAGCUCGUGUCGUGAGAUGUUGGGUUAAGUCCCGCAACGAGCGCAACCCUUAAGCUUAGUUGCCAUCAUUAAGUUGGGCACUCUAAGUUGACUGCCGGUGACAAACCGGAGGAAGGUGGGGAUGACGUCAAAUCAUCAUGCCCCUUAUGAUUUGGGCUACACACGUGCUACAAUGGACAAUACAAAGGGCAGCGAAACCGCGAGGUCAAGCAAAUCCCAUAAAGUUGUUCUCAGUUCGGAUUGUAGUCUGCAACUCGACUACAUGAAGCUGGAAUCGCUAGUAAUCGUAGAUCAGCAUGCUACGGUGAAUACGUUCCCGGGUCUUGUACACACCGCCCGUCACACCACGAGAGUUUGUAACACCCGAAGCCGGUGGAGUAACCUUUUAGGAGCUAGCCGUCGAAGGUGGGACAAAUGAUUGGGGUGAAGUCGUAACAAGGUAGCCGUAUCGGAAGGUGCGGCUGGAUCACCUCCUUU